CUGCAGUACUUCAAGUGAGCAGUGGGGGGCGCUCCGCGAUCAGUAACUCACUUAUUGGCUUUAAUUUCAAUUGGGUUUUUUCCAAAAACAAACUAAAGCUUUUUUUUUUUAUGACUUGUCUGAACUCGUGUGAUUGGAAUCGAAUAUUCAAAUAACCUUGAUUGUUCAAACAUGUGCUCCAUUUAAAGAAACCCAUCUUCAUGCUAACAUGUUCACAAAAAAGCAGCUAGAAAUCCACAGGCCUUCUUAAACCACAUCUGUCCGUCAGACGCUCAUGACAGGAGUCUUCAGCUGUAAUGUUUUCUCUUGUGUGCGUGUAUGUGAGUGUGUGUAAACACAGUCCAACUGAUACCCAAGCAUUUCCUAUAGCACUAACUUGCCCAAAUAGCAAAACCUCAGCUUCAAAUCAAUCAUUUUGAGCACAUUUGCACUCUUAUGAUCUCACACGGACUGUUGCUGUGAUAAACAAGGGACUUUUUGAAUGUUUUUGAUUCCAAUGCCAUAAAUAUGCUUUCAUCUGUACUUACUGUAUGUACAGUACCCUAUAUGGAACACUUCAAAACCACUUUGUGCUAGUUUUAACUGGAUUCAGUUUAAUGCUCUAAAUGACAUUUUAUCUGACACUACUGGUCUGAGGCGACUGGUUUGUGUCUCUGUCAAGUGUUCUGAGAAGGUCCAAAAUCAGUUUCAUGUGCCUACACAGACUCUUAGAUUGUAUCAGAGGUGAUGUAUGUAACAUCAGCCGAGCUGUUCAUCCCAUUUCCUGUGACAAAAACUAUACGUAACGUAUAUAUAGUAUACUAUGACGUAAUCAUAGUAUGUCCUUCCCUCCUUCAACUGUUCACUUGUUCUGGUGUCACUCAUUUUUCUCUCUCUGUCUUUGUCUUUCAGGGUGAUUCAGCAGUUUGGAAUCAAGUUACAGGCUACGGGGAGCAGUUAUUAACCGUUUUUUAUUUCCUUGUUGAAAAGAAAUUCAGAUUAGCUGGAUUUGAGACUAUAAAUGUAUUACUGAAAAAAAAAAACAUUUCGUCAAAUCGUGUGCCAUUCUUCUAACGCCCACACGUGAAAAAAAGUGCUGAAAUGAAAUGUCAUUGUAAAUCCUAUGAUAAGACUGAUUCAUCUUAUGCCGAAACACACACACAUGCUUACAUUUCCUAUGAUCAGAAUGAUGCUGCAAAUGAAGUAUACACUCAUAAGGACUGUAUUUAAAUGAACUUGGGUGUAAACCAACAGGAAACUAUCAUUUAAAGGACUGGACUGGAUGAGAGGUGUCAUCAUAGGAAUGAAUGGUAUUGUUCCAGAAAGCUCCGCAGAUGCUAAAGACUGAAGUGUUUGUAAACUUGUCUGACAGUCUAACUCUGUCCAUAUGUGUGUAAUCACACUGUAAGUGGGUUGAACUUACAGCAGAAGUGAGUGUGUUCUCAAGUAUGCAUUUGUGUGCACGCAUGUAGUUCCCACUAGUGAGGAAUGAGUGUGUGUGUAUGUGUGUGAGUGUGAGUCAGGGCACUCCCUAACACUCGUGGUACAUUGACGUAAAAGACAAGACAGGACAGGCUGAUCCAACUACUUGGGAAAAACACUGAGGUGGGCGGGGCUUAGUACAGGAAGUGCACUUAAAAAGACAGCGAACACGAAACUUCUGCUGGGGCUCGGGGUCACUUAUGGGUUCAGGUAUCAAGCAGCUGCUGCUUAUUAUUUCUGGCAUUUAAGAAUGCUGAAAACAAACACAACUUCUAUGAAACUCUAUUUGGAAGGCUGUCAAUUACUCAACCCCGUCCUGCAUGAUGCGAGCGGUACGGCCCAACGUCGUGGCGGUCGUCGUGAGCCACUGCGCAAGCGUCAGAAAGCAGAAUAGCAGAAGUGCAACAGUGUCGAAAUCUGGGCCAGUGUCCUGCUGGGUCAUGGCUCCACCUCUUACGGCCAUUGUGGACGCCUGAGUUCCUGGCAGCCGUGCCGCAAGGACCACCGGAUGUUCACCGCCAGCGUCAUCCACUCGAGCCCAAGAAAAAGAAGAAUGGUGAUAUAAAAAAGUCAAGAAACAGGGAAGUGGUGGAUGAAUGAAAGGUUUUGCCAUUGGUACAUCGCAGCACUUUCAAUCUGCUGAGCUCAUCCCCUCCAGAAAACUUACUUUGCUACUCCAAACAAUAGACCGCAAUGAUUCUAUAUAGUCACCUUGUAUUUCUUCUUUUCAUAAACACUUUGGAGGUGUAAAUGGUAUGAUUGGAGUCUGAAUAAGCCUCAUUUGAAUGCAGGUUUGAGUCGCAUAGGCCACAUCUCAGUCCUGUUUCCACUCUCUUCCUGUUGCUUCUGCACAAUAGUGUAAAAAUAAGAUAAAAUAAUAAAAGAUUUAAACUCUCUCAUCCACAGUCUAUUCCAGUAUCUUGCUGUUUACCCGAUGUCUUUUGACAAUUUUUCAUUUAAAAAUAAAUCCUUUUCUAGUUUCACUUAUUACAUGCUAAGCAACACCAUCUUAACAGGUGAUGUUAACCACUUGUGAUGGUGUCAGAAACUCAUUGAUUAUUAAUGCGUCUGCCAGGGAUUGUUCACCUUUGAUAUUUCGGCCUUGUUUACCUUUGAUAUGUCGGCCUUGUUGGUCGCAACAAUGGUUUUGUUAAUAUUUAACCAUCGCAUUUUUAUAUUGGGACAGUAUCAGCUGGCUUUUCAUGGGUGGAGAACUUUCUUUAGAGGCCUGAGACGUUUGUUUAACAAUGAGGACUAACUGAGAGAAAUUCUUUUCUUUUAAAAUGUGUUUUCAAGGAAAAGGUCAUUUAAGGGAAGUGAGAGGACAACCACACGCUAAAAAUAUGCAGAGGAAGCUUGAAUGUGUUUUUUGAUUUAAUAGAAAACAUUUGCUUUGGGGAUGAUUAGGAUUUCAUGUCCAAACUGUACAGCGAUUUUAAAGAAGCAGAAAUGAACCAAUACACAAUAGCUGAAGGCCAUAUGAGCAGUCUUUAAUAGUUUCUAGUUAAGAUGAGGGUUUGACAAUCCAGUGUAGGCUGGAUCAUAUUAAUUUCAGCAGGUCCUCCGGCGUCGUGACGCAGCUAUUCGUUUAGUGACACACGUAACACUAUUGACGGUAAAUCCUGCCUGGAAGCGGGCGGGGCAUUGCUCUCUAGUAAAAGGGGAAAAGAAACUUGUAAUCCUGACGUUGGAAAUUCCUGUGUUAGCAAUCAAUGGUCCUCAGGAGACAUGGGACACAAAGAAAAUAAACAAAGCGAGCUGGAACCGAAGCCGCGCGUCUCAAUAGAGCUGCCAGGUUCCCUUUCAAAACAUCAAACGAAAUGUCAAACUAAACUUCUUAAGAAAUCGCUGAGUGUGGUGCAAUCAUCAUGCUGGCAAUUAAUUAUAAAAGACAACCAGGUAAAUCACACAUAAUAAUAAGUUAUACAAUCACAAUAUACAGUACUGUACUGAAUGAAAGUUGUUUAGCAGACUUUAUUUGAAACUGAUGUUUGUGGGUUUAGUGAUUUUUGUAUCAGCUGUGUUUGUGGUGUGAGAAAUGAACACAUACCAUACCACAGUCUUCCUCACACAGAGGAGGAAGAUUUAUUCGAUAAGUUAAGCUGCUCUUGAUCAAAUUAUCCAGUAAUACAUUAAUUCACCCCCCCCCCCAUUCUCCCACCUUCUUUUGUGAUGGUGAUGAACUGUUCCUGGUCUACCUGUUACUCUCCUGACUGACAGGUCAUUCAACCUGUCCCUCAGGUUUCAUUUCCUCCCGCAGGACUCAAGCAGGAGCGGUCACACUUCAACAGCUGAAAGUUACCCUGUUACCAGUGAUGAAACACCAACCAUGCAUUUCUCACCAAACAGAUUUAAUGGGUAC